UACGUAGGGGGCAAGCGUUGUCCGGAAUUAUUGGGCGUAAAGCGCGUGUAGGCGGCCAGAAAAGUCCGCUGUGAAAACUCGAGGCUCAACUUCGAGCUGUCGGUGGAAACUUUCUGGCUAGAGUCCGGAAGAGGAGAAUGGAAUUCCUGGUGUAGCGGUGAAAUGCGCAGAUAUCAGGAAGAACACCCGUGGCGAAGGCAGGUCUCUGGGCUAUAACUGACGCUCAUGCACGAAAGCGUGGGGAGCAAACAGG
rnacentral:rRNA from 1 species